GUCCUUUGGGGGAUAUCUAAUAAAAUUAGAAUGUUAUAGAGAAUAUUAGCAUAGCCUCUAUGCAAGGAUGGCGCACACAAAAAAAAAAAAAAUUAAAUAAUG